GUUUGCUUUCAGGAGCUUUUGUUCCCUGAGUGCUUUCCGUAGAGUUCUGGAGGACGGGAAUACAAAUGGCGGCCUCCUGGUCUCCAGCCCGGAGGAGCCGCGAGCCCAGGGCCCCACUCCUCAGUGCGCCCUCAGAGAGCAACGCCCAGUAACUCCCGUCUGCCUGACCUCCAGCCGCGCUCAGAGCUCACCCAGCCUGCGGCUGGUUCAAGGAACAGAGGUGGGUGGAUGGCCACAAGGCUAAAAGCAGCAGCUGUCCAGAUUCUUGGCCUUUCAUUCCAGAUGACCCUGAACAUAGCUGGAUGAGAAGAAUCCUGGAGAACUGUUAUGAAUGCAAGAUGGGGACAAGCAGGGGGAAAUUGUGAGGAAAUCAACAGAGUGAGGAAAAUUUAGGGAAAAUAUCAGAAAGUAACAAAGUGUUUCCCUCUGAUUCAUUUGUCUCCUUAAUUUUACUGAUUCCCCUAACAUGAACAGCUUUUUCAUAUUCCAAAUGUAGCCGUUAAUAGGAAAAAAAAAAAAAGACAUUCUAGUUCUAUUGGGCCAAAACCUGGAGCAGCUGGGGACAGUGGAAAGAACACCGUUCUUGGUAAUGGAAGAUCUGGGUUUGAACUUGGCUCUACUUCUUUGAAUCAGU